UACGUAGGGAGCAAGCGUUGUCCGGAAUUCAUUGGGCGUAAAGCGCGCGUAGGUGGCUUCGUAAGUCCGUUGUGAAAGUCAAAGGCUCAACCUUUGAAAGCCGAUGGAUACUGUGGAGCUAGAGUACGGAAGAGGCGAGUGGAAUUCCUGGUGUAGCGGUGAAAUGGCGCAGAUAUCAGGAAGAACACCCGGUGGCUAAGGCGGCUCUCUAGUACGGUACUGACGCUGAGACGCGAAAGCGUGGGGAGCGAACAGG
rnacentral:rRNA from 1 species